rnacentral:lncRNA from 1 species
UAGCACAUUCCCCUUUAUUGGCUCCAAUAGCUUUUUCACAAAAGCACUUGGCUGGGGUUCAACCACCUAACUUAGUUGGGGCACCAUGGUUGCCCAAUAUGCAGUUCCUCCAUGGAUUUGUUACACCAACCCAAUACAUACACAAUCCAAAUUUGGCACCAAAUGUUGAAGAUGGCAGUGAGAAUGAGAAGCCUAUUACAUCGGAUGCAAACCAUGAUACUGACAAAACUUGGCAUCAGUAUGGUAUUGGAUAUUCUAGACAAUUUGAUCCUGAAGUGAGAGAUCCUCGCAUCUAUGAUAUUGAUGGGAAGGAACGUCCUUCUUUUCCUAAUGGUGUACACGGUGCCCCCUUGGAAAGGCAUAUGGAAUUCACUCAUGAGAAUAAUGGUGCAGAUGAUGAAACCUAUAACAGCAUGUUCCAGAAUCAAACAAGUAGAGAAGGCAAUGUAGAUUACUCUAAGAGGAGUGGUUGUGUGAACGCUUCGCAUGGCAGUUCAUCCAGAGGCAAAGCUCUGGAUGCUAGUUCAUGGGAUGAAGUUUCUGUAAAUACAACAAGGUCAUCAAGAAACAAAUGGGGAAAAGAACCUGGCUUUGCGGCACCGGCCACAUCCACACAUAGCAAGACUGGUGGGCAGAUGGGAAAUGCCAAUGAUCAUCUCCCAACUGAAGUUGACGAUGGCCCUAGAAAUGGGACACUGGUACCAAUCAUUAAUGAAACUUCUGAGAUAGUAGCAGGGUCCGAUUCUUUUUCAACACAAACAAGAACUAGUGCACCUUUUCUUUUUGGUUCGCCACAUCAGAGGCAAGCUGAUAACUCUGGACUGACUUUUGUUCCAACAGGCACACCAGUUCCUUUUGCUGUCCUCCCAUUUAUUCCAGGGAAUAGCAAUGGUUCUGGUCCCCAGUUUGAGAAAAGCGAUGGAAUUGAUCAGCUUUCUGCCAAAAUUGCAGGUCAAAAUUUCUGUUUGCUUAGUGAUGUUCACCAACCAGAUUCUGGUGCUACCUCUACAGCAUCAAUCAGUACUAUGACUGAGCCAUCUGGGGAACACAAGCCUGACAUCUUGAAAGGUGAUCUCGUUAACCAUCGGCACAAUCUUCAGUAUGCGCGACUCUGUCAGAAUGCUCGUUCCAUGGGUCCUGUUCUAUACCCUUUUCCGGUACCACCAAUGUAUUUGCAGGGCCAUGCGCCAUGGGAUGGGCCUGGAGGACCAGUUGCACCAAAUGUUAACUGGACACAAAUGAUUGGUCCUGGUCAACGAGUACUUCCUGUGAUGCCUCUGCAACCUGCUGCGGAAAGAGGUACUGGCGUUUUCCAGCACUAUGGAGAAGAUGCACCCAGAUACCGUGGAGGCACAGGAACGUACUUGCCAAAUCCUGUAAGAAUCUAAGAUAUCUUUUAGCAUCUUAUCUCGUGCAUAGACAACUUGUUAGUAAUAACAUAUUAAAAAAAUGAAAACUAAACAAGGUUGAUCAUUUAUUGAGCAUUACACUUUUGAUACAUGGUUAAUUGAUACCAAUACUGUCGCCCAUUUAGGUGAUUUAAUUGCUCAUAUGAAGAUCGGAAGUCGUAACUACUCAUUAGUUCUGUUAGAUUCUGCUAGGCCAGUCUGGUACAUUUUUAACGGGCUAGUAAGAUUUAUGAGUCUACCUGGUCAGAUUCGUGGGAAAGAUUCCCUUUAUGUCAUCAUGAAUAUCAUAGAGCUUGUGCUUCAUCGUAUAGACACAAGCAUUGAUCUGUUUACUAUCAGGUUGCUAGCUUUGAGUCGCUUACUGGUAAAAACAGUUCUGUGCUAGCUUGUCUUGACUAUUAAGUCAUUGUAGAUCGCUUUGAACCUUGUAUGCUAGAAACAGUUUAGUCUGAACCAGCUGUAUUAUUAUCCUGAAGCUUGUAUGCUAGAAACAAUUUUGGCGCUUUUGAGCUCUAUAAGAACGAUACACCUCAGAUAUUCACUGGAACCAUAGUCUUGAAAGUAUUCUGAGAUCGAAAAGAAACAUGUUAAUCUUUCCAACAUAGUAUUCUUUUUUUGAACGAUUUUUUUUUAUUUGUAACUGUAUUUAGUCAACUUGAAACUCAUGCGUUACCCACCAUCAGAGUGAAAUCAUAGCAUAGUAAGCUCAUGUAUCCCCUUCAUUGUACAACUUCCUAAAACAAAUGGUUACUAAUCCCUCCAUAUGACAUUUAGGACAAAGUAGAAAUCAUUUUUUAACUAAUUAGCUUGUCCUAAAUGUCAUAUGUUUAAAAAUGGAGGGAGUACAAAGUAGAAAACUAAUGAGUUCUUUUCAUGACUGAUGAGUCAAGACAUUUGGAAUAUGGGUGCUGCUGGGUUUUCCUACGGUAGUUCUACCUUCUUUUCCUCUGGUCACAGUGAUUUCUUUGUUUCGCAAGAGAUAGAUUUAUUAAGCAAUGAUUUAUGAAAUUGAUAGUCUGGACUGCGAAAUACUAAGCCGUCAAUUCUGUGGCUUCUGUUCAGAAGGUUCCAUUUAGGGACCGGCACUCAAAUUCAAGAAACUACAGAGGAGGUUAUAAUGGUGACAGGAGUGACUACAGUGAUAAGGAAGGAAGCUGGAUAAACUCAACACAACGAAAUCCAAAUCGCAGCUAUGGACGUAGCCAGUCGGAGAGGUCUGGCAUGAGGUCUGAUAGACAGGCCAAUGAUGAGAGUCAAUCUGAUAGGCAACGGCGAACUUACAGAAAUGACUCAUACAGGCAUGAGGCGAGCUCUCAAUAUCUUGUGCAGGGCCAAUCUUUUGGAUCCGCAAGCUCUAUGCGCAAACCAGGGAACAUUGCACAUGGGGUUUACACACCACAAUCAACAGCUUCAAAUGGUGCUGGUGCUUUAUCUGGCCCUCCAGGACCACCAUUUUUUAUGAUGUACUCGUAUGAAUCUGGCGCAAAUCAUGGUCCAUCCACAUCUGAACCAAUUGAAUUUGGUUCUCUUGGGCCACUUCCUGCAGAAAAUGGUGAUGACAUACCACGGUCCACGCGCCAAGUAAUGCCUAAUGGGUUUUAUGGGCAAAGGCGUGGUCCAUAUAGGGGUGGUUCCUCUCAUUCCUCUCCUGAUCAACCGUCUUCACCUCAGCCUCGCAGGUAAUACUAUAAUCUUUGUUGAUCACUGUUUCUAUUUUUAAUGUUUAAGUAUGAGCAGUCUGAAAAAUCCAAAUCAUAACUGUUUAAGGAAAAAUCCAAAUCAUAACUGUAUAAGGAACUUUAUUUUAUCUGUGAAGAAACUUGUGAUUUCGAUAUAUAAGCAGUGUAAAUGCACGGUAAGCAGUUGCCACUAGUAAGUUACUUACCUAUAACUAACAUUAAGUAAUUGACAGACAAUGAGGCACCGCUGGAAGGUCAAAUUCGUUAUGUUCUCAUGAGUUGAGAAAUCCGGCACACGAAAUGAAAGUGCUGCUAUGUGCAGAUUUGAUAGGGUAAGCAGGAAUUGAAGAGAUAGUCUGCUUCGUAUUUCAUGUUGUUGAGAGAAAAGAUGCAAGCCACGGAAAUAAUGUUCUAAAUUAUUUAAUUUAAUUUUCAUUCCUCAGUGGAUCUUCCAGAGUUAAAAUAUUGAGAGUAGAUCAUUCUGGCAUGGGUACUUCGUCACAUUAUUGUGAUGGUGAUAAUGACCAGUAACCUCAAGUCCUCAACUUCAUGCAUUAUGCAUGUGUGCUCAUUUUCUGUCACAUGUGGGCUAUGGCCUUCAUGAAAGUCCAAAGUAUUUACAAAGUGCAAGUGUGUUCAACUGAUGCCCAUAGCAGUUGGUAGUAAUUAGUAAAGUGGCUCCUGAUAUCCGGUCUCAAAGGUAGAAAUUAGUGUAUAAGCACAUUAAACUAGCACCACAUCCGGGAGACCGGGGAUAUGCUUGCAAUGGGUAAUUGUGCCACCAGCUUUUCAAUUUGCUUCCAUGAAUUGAUCUAAGUAUUUUCUUCUAAGUAUAUUCAGCAACAUUUGUUGUCACCAAGCUGAAAUUUAUGUUUCUGUUAACUUUCAAGGUAGUUGAAUGAUGGCAUGGUCACUUGGUUCUGGCAUUGAAGCCCUGAGAUAGCAAUAUUUUGCUCUGACACUCGUGACCAUGUCCUGCAUGAGUUCAGACGGUUGAGGCCAUCAGCAGCCAACAACAAAAGCAUGUGCCCUAGCUGGUUUUUAUGGUGCUGUCUGAUAUUUCACAAGCACUAAAUAGUGAAUACCAUCAAAAGUAUGGUGUUUUCUGAUAUCUCACAAGCAUUGGAAUAGCGGAUAGCAUGAAAAGAGACAUCAUCAUCGGCAGAUUAUUUUACCGGUCGCUUAUGAACUUUCCUGGAACCGAAGCAACGAUCUUCAGAACAAAUCGUGGAACUGUGAAGCCCAGAAAUCCAGAAUAUAUAUCUUCAUGCAGAAAUCAGAAUUGAACUAAGAUUAUGAGCAAGGAUGAAUUGAGUUCUGACCUUCUCAAGGAUAUGUUAUUAGGUUGAAUGGAACCGGAACAAGCAUUUCUUCGUCAAAAUCAAAUACAAUCUUGAAAAAGCAUUGGGUUUUACUACAAUUAUCGGGGCAUUAUAUGGCCAUGUGUAACUGAAAGGUAAUAAAGAGUUCUCGUUUCUAGGUAGGAUCAAGAUCAUGUAACACAUACAGCAAACUCUUCACUUAAGUGUGCUAGGAGUUAGGUGAAUCCUAGAUUACCAAUUCUCGUGGUGUUUCUAGCUGGAGGGACAUGGACUCCAGGAUACUCUCACGCACGAGUAAAAAAAAUGAUCGUCUUUAUCGUCCUCUGUUCCAUAUGUGCGGUGCGUUCAAUGUAUUGGGAUUCCCGCAUAUUUCCCUGCCUGGGCAUUCUGAUGGUGUGCUGUAUCGGGUAUACAGAGAUGUUGGCGUAUCCGUUUUGACUCUUGAGAACUCGAGUCGACAUACAGUCCUGUAACAGUAAAACCUUGCAACAUUGCUUCAGUAACGCACUUCCAGUUCUUCAAGGACCAGUGCAAUUUCAAGAAAUCGCGAUGCUAUGUCAAUGGCAACUUGCUGCUACAGCUACAGAUGCGUUUUACGUAUAGCGCAUACAUCUUAAGUUCUGAGCUCGCGUGAUGGUGUACUUUCUCCUGAUGCUCCUUAUUGGCCUCUGAAAAAAUAUUUUCUUGGUGUACAUCCUGCCAUGGUAAUCAGGGUACCAUGAUGGGCUCCUGAAGCAAACGGGUUUACUUGUGCUUGGUGUUCCGGAACUUCUCGUGCAGGUCCUGCGUGGAGUUCUUGAACCUGUUAUCGAACUCGGCGUACUUCUGGUUCUCGGCUUGAGAGCGCAACAGCAAGAAAGAAAGGGUUUUCCAUCAGUCAAGAGGGACAGCGAGAGAGCUUUGCAGCAAGGAUAAGUUCAUCGUGGACUUAUAUAACCACAACACCGAAUUUACCGCGUAAGGCUCUGAGAAGUCUGACUCUACUCAUCAUGUGGGAGAUUUGGAAAGAACGGAAUGAGCGCAUCUUCAAUGGACAUGAGAGCUCAACAACGACGUUGCUGGCGAAAAUCAAGAAGGAGGCGUCAGCUUGGCUACUAGCGGGGCAAAAGAUCUAACAUUACUUCUAGCGCGAGAGUAGCACGGCUAGUCACUCGGCUGGUCGUUUUUUUCUUUACCUUUGUUUCUUUCCUGCAAACUCCUGCUCUAUUAAUGAAAUAGGCACAAUCUCGUGCCCGUUCGUUAAAAAAAAUAAUUACAUCGUGGCGACUCAGAAAAUGAACCAAAUAGGCUAGGUAUAUGUAAUUACGUAGUUACUUAAUUAUAUUUCGCCAAAUAAUCUUAAACUAGCAUAUCUCAUUUAAACUAUCCUUUUUCUAUUGUCGACUUCUAAAUAAAAAAAACUGUAACAUUCAUUUAAAGUGACUUUUUACAUGCUUGCUACCUUGGGACGGGUAAGAUGAAAAAUGGUAACUCCCUGUCACUAUCAUAUUAUACUAAGGUGAACGUGUUAUUUAUGUAUAUGAACCAUAAGCAACAACAUGUGAAAAUGAUAGGUGUGGCUUAAUACCAUAUUAAAGUAGCAGCGUGUUUGAAAUGCUGGGUGGCAAGGUGGGCUGCUAAAGACGGGAUGGCGAUGCAUUUAGUCUGACCGAAACUAAUUCAAUAGACAUGACACCACAUUGUAGCGAUCCAUUAGUGAUAUGGCUACGUUGCACUCCUAAUAGCAUCUACAAGACUACAAGAUGGAAAGUUGAUGAGAAAAGAUGAAGAGAAUCAGGAUUAUCAGGUUUGAUCCGAAUAAUCUCUACCUAAUAUUUAAAGCAUCGCGUAUUUCUUCCAACCGUCAUGGUCAUUUUGCAAAAAAGUCCAUCAUCUUUUUCUUAAUCAACCCGCAGUCCUGGGAGUUAAAACCGUCGUAGUUCUUGACGAUUUGCAAAAAAAAAAGUCUCUUUCUUCAUCACCCGCCAUGCGUUUCUGGGGCCAGCGCCCAGCGAUGUGUCCACAGCACGGGACCCCUCCUCCAUCCCCACAAAUCAAUCCAACCACCUCCGCAUGCAUGGUGCGUGCUGCCAUGGCCCAUGGGAGGUCGCGCUGGGAGAGAAGAGAGGUUGAAUUCUAGCUAGCGGAGUAUUUCGAUUCGUAUUCUCUGUUGGACCCAACAAGAACUUCUUUGAUUUGGUAUUUUUAUGAUCUAUUAUAAAUAGCAAAGAAUAGAUAAGGUGAGAUGUGAUACAUGUUCACAAAAGAGGGUCACGUCUUUUAAAAAUAGGGUCCAUUAAAUUAUAAUGUUUCAAAUUGUAACCAUGUUCUCUAAAUUAUGAUCUAAUCUAGAUGACCUAGUAAAUAAUUAGAAAUUAAGAUUUAGAUGCGUGAUUAUAAGUUAGGAGUAGGUCCUCGCAAAAAGGUACUAAAAAGUAUUGUACACUUAAAUUCAAUUAAAUUCAAUUGGCCGCGAAUUUCUCAAAAAUCAAAAAUCCACAUUCCACAACCAUUGAGCCAAGGCACUGCCCAUGUGGUCACGUCUCAUUGACGUAUUAGAGAUAUCGAGUCUGUUUGGUUGCUAUACUAUGGUUGUCAGUGUUUGCAACAUUUUCUCGCUAAAUCGAGUAAGAUUAGUUCAUCAAAUUGUUUGCUAAACUUUAACUGCUUUUCUUAGUCACUGACAAGUGGAAUCAAGCGGUACAACCAAACAACUAUUAAAACUUAAUCAAAUUUGGCUUAUGAUGCGGUAAAGUGUGACUUAAUCAAAUUUGCCUAAACUUAUGCUAGGGUAAAGUGUGUCAGGUUUUGACUUCAAACCAAACAGAUCCGUCGUAGAGGUCGGGUCGGCCGGCCGGCCUCUUCCCGGCACAUUCCCACGGCCCAAACCAAACACCGACCCGCACGUCUCCUCCUCCUCCCCUUUCCGGCUCUCCCCAGCUCAAUCAACCCUUCCGGCCUUCCCCUCCCCUCCUCCACGCCGACCACUCCCCUCCUCAUCGCCGCCGAUCACUCUCCCCACAACCGCAUCGAUCCAAAGCUCGCUCUAGGUUAUCCGCCCGUCCGCUUCCCGGGGCUCCACCGGCCCGGCUCGAUUCGCGCCGGGGGUGGCUGCUCCGUGCUCUGAGCCACCCGUCGCCGCUGUAGCCCGCUGCUGCGGGGAGUGCUCCUCUGUUGGCUGCCGCUGGUGUAGGGGUCCAGGGUUUUGUCUUCGCCAGGCGGAGGGCGCAUGGGGAUGGUGCCCAACGGGCUCCUGCCGAAUGCGUCCACCGGGGUGACCCGGCGGCUCGACCCCGAGCGCUGGGCGGUCGCGGAGGGCCGCACUGCUGAGCUGAUCGCGCGCAUCCAGCCCAACGCACACUCCGAGGGUCGGAGACUGGCCGUGUACCACUACGUGCAGCGGCUCAUAAUGAACUGCCUCUCGUGCCAGGUACAGUAACUGCUUACCAAGUGACCCGAUUGCUACGGCAGGUAGUAAUAGGGAUUAGCUUUUGUCUGAAGGAGAACGCUCUUGUAUAUGGCUGUGAGGACUGCGCUGUGGGGAUGGAUAUAUGAAACUGCUGCUGAAGAACCGACUAGAGUAACGAUUGCUUAACAAAGAGGGUGCUAGACCAUAACCGAUGCUUUACUUUCUGUUUUUCAAAUGUUUGCCUGACAAACAGAAGCUGAUUCUGGAGAGAGAGCUCACUUGAGAUGGUGACUCAUGGUUACAGAAGAACAGGAGGGACUCUGAUCACCUAACACCCAUACUUCCGGUUCUGAUAUUUGACGAUCUGUUUAGAUGUAUUAGGUUUUCAUACAAUGGGAUGACUAGCAAAAAUUAAGCUGCGCAUUGGGGGAAGAGUAUGAAUGGAGAUCCUGGACAGUGUGUAAUCAAACUGUAUUUUCCUCUUUUUGUAUUGCAUUCCUAUGACACAGGGUGUUGCACACAUCCAGUACCCUGUUACUGAAGUUUUGUGGAACCACAGAACUAACCUCUGCCAAUAAUACGAUAUGAAGAACUUGCAUGUUUUAGCCAGAAGAGUUCUAGUAAUUUCUUUUUGAUAGUCAUAAAUCAGUAGCCAUAUGUGGAUGUCUGAAAAUUUUGGCUUGUCUGAUGGCAUGAGCAUUUGCUAUACAGCCUAGCUGGUGCAUCGAGAUACCACUUUUAUCUUAUUGCAUUCAUGUUUCUUGGAUGAUUGAAAAAGACAUUUCCAUAAGCCUUAUGCAUGUCAAGGGGAAUUUUACACUAGCAUUUCGGAAAUUCCUUGCUCUUGUCUUCAGUACUGAAUUAUCUUGUUGAUUAAAUGUGCUUCACAGAGAAUGAUCUCUUUGUAUCUACAGGUUUUUACCUUCGGGUCAGUCCCUCUCAAGACUUACUUACCUGAUGGUGACAUUGAUGUCACUGCUUUUAGUAAUAGUGAUGAAUUAAAGGAGAUUUGGGCAAAUCUUGUCCGGGAUGCGUUGGAGCGUGAAGAGAAGAGUGAAAAUUCUGAAUUUCAUGUAAAAGAAGUCCAGUAUAUUCAGGCAGAGGUAAUUUUCCCUGUUAUAAUUUCAGAGUGAUUUUUUUUCCUUUUGCUGUUGUAUAGGCAUCGGAAUUACCUCCAUACGAAAUUGGUCGUCUGCUAAUUGCUGUUGUAGAUAUUUGUGCAUUUUUCUACAAACUUGGUCAAAGCUACAGAAGUUUGACUUAGGAUAAAGCUAGAAUGACUUAUAAUUUGUAACAGAGGGAGUACGUACAUAUAGUAGAGUUUCAUUAGCAUUGUACCUUCAUUUAUGACAUUACAAUUGUGUGAAGUUAUUACCAGAAGUUGCCUAUUGUACUUUGUGCUAUAUGAAUUGAGGCAGAACAGAAACGAAUACACGAUCUUAAGUUAAACUUCAGUUUAGUAAUAUGGCCAUUGCUCUGUCACUCAGUUCUAUGCACCAUAUGGUGUGGCCAAAUAGCUAAAGUCUAAUCUAUUAGUAUCAUUUAGGAGGAUUAUGCAUCUGAAGACACUUCUAGCAUCCUUCUAAGUACACAAAUAUGUAUCCAGUGUCAUUUUAUCGCUGAUCGCUCUCCUCUUGUAUCUUCUUUUGGGAAUAUGUCACCGUUAAUGAUUUGGCACUUUUAUUUUAUUCUCCACUCAUUUGUAUCCUCGUAUGUUUUAUGUAUCAUGCAUAGGUCAAGAUUAUUAAGUGUCUUGUGGAAAACAUUGCUGUCGACAUCUCAUUUAAUCAAGUUGGUGGACUAUGUACACUUUGUUUUCUUGAAGAGGUAUAUUCUUAUUUUCGAAAUCUAGCUUAAUUUGUAUAUCCAGGCAAGGUGCUUGAAAGUUUACCAUUUAUAUCUUGUGCGGUAAGGAAUUUAUAUUAACUUGAUAGCUGUGCUUAUUGCAUAUAGCACCUGGUUCAGAUGUGCUUGGUUUUUCUGCUCAUACCUCCUAAUGAUUCUGCGUUCUAAUAGGUCGACAACUUGAUCAGUCGAAAUCAUUUAUUCAAGCGGAGUAUCAUAUUGAUAAAAGCAUGGUGUUACUAUGAGAGUCGUAUUCUUGGAGCUCACCAUGGUCUUAUAUCUACUUAUGCAUUGGAGACGCUGGUUCUGUACAUAUUUCAUAUAUUCAACAACUCUUUUACUGGACCUCUUGAGGUGACUUACUCUCUUGUCUUUGAUUUUUCUAUUUGUGCAUGUGAAGGUGACUUACUCUGUUGUCUUUUGAUUUUUCUAUUUGUGCAUGUGAAGGUGACUUACUCUCUUGUCUUUGAUUUUUCUAUUUGUUCAUGUGCAGGUUAUGUACCGUUUCUUGGAAUUUUUCAGCAACUUUGAUUGGGAGAAAUUUUGUUUGAGCUUGCGGGGCCCAGUUCCUAUAAGUUCACUUCCAGAUAUGACUGGUAAUCUAUACGUAUAACUUUAUUUUGAUAAAUCAAUGAUUGAUUAAAAAUAGUCUUUUUGAUCAUUCAUGUUUUGUCAUGCAGCGGAACCUCCGCUGAUGGACAGUGGUGAAUUGUUGCUGGACAAGUCCUUCCUGGAUAACUGUAGCACUGCAUAUGGAGUUGUGCCUCGCACGCAGGAGAAUCAGGGUCGACCAUUUGUUUCCAAACACUUCAAUGUUAUUGAUCCUUUACGUGCAAACAAUAAUCUCGGAAGAAGUGUCAGCAAAGGUAACUAUGGACCUACUUUAAGAUCAUCUUACAGGUGAACUGAACAGAGUAAAUAUUCUUUGGCUUCACCUAUUUCCAUGCUAUUGAUGGUAUGUUGUGUUCCAUGCAAUUAUUUCAUUCACUGUUGGUAAUUGGUUGCUAGUUUGUCUCCUUGUAGAAUGUCAGCAUUCUACUGAUAUACGCAUAUAAAGUGACCAACAAAUCCGACCACUAACAAUAAGAACUUCAUUCUUUGCGACCUGUAAUAGGACCUUCUGGAGCAAGUGUUGGGAUAGACAUACCUGCCAUACUUCUAUUCAUUCUUACAAUGUUGAGUAUAUGGUAAUUAAGAGCAGCAAUCGAUUUUACUUUGAUUGUCUGGCACUUAAAUAUCAUAAAUUUUUCCUUGGUGUGUAAUAUUUUAUCUUAUUGGCCAUUGGAUGCUAAUGGUAGAUUCAGUCUCUUAAGAAGAUUCAAGUGUUUGAUACAAUAAUUCUUCCUCCUUGUGCUGUAUACUCUGGAAAGUACCCUUGUCAAUAUUUUAUCUUUUUGGCAAUUCGAUGCUAAUUAUAGGUUCAAUCUCUUAAGAAGGUUCAAGAAUAUGGAUUGGAUGACUACCACAGUUUUGGUUGUUCUCUGAAAAGUUUGAUCUCUACAAGAGCAACAAAAAUACAUCACCUGUUGAGUUGACCUCUUUUUAUUUUGCAGGCAAUUUCUUUAGAAUACGCAGUGCUUUUGCAUAUGGAGCGAAAAGGCUUGGAAAGUUACUUGAAUGUCCAAAACAAGAUUUAAUUACUGAAUUGAAUCAGUUCUUCACAAAUACAUGGAUAAGACAUGGGAGUGGAAGUCGUCCUGAUGUGCAGCCUCAGAAAGUUGUACCUUCUGUAGCGUCAAACAGUCACAGCAACGACAUCACUAAGUCUUCACAGGAUGAACCAGUGUCUUCCUUGAGCAGUUCAUCUCACCCUAGUGCAAAGGCAGUUUCUGACUCAAAUAGUGUUUCGAGCAGCUAUCGUGAAGAUAAUGGUUGUGUGAUGAACGGAGAACGUCCUUCUGUCUCUGAAUCAUCAGAUAUGCGCCAUGAUGAACAAUUUCUGGUUAAUUUAAUGGAUUCCGUGAAGUUGCAUGGAUCCAAUGGACAGAUUCAAUUGCCAAUGCAAUUACCUUCUCAUCUGUCUGUAGCACAUUCCCCUUUAUUGGCUCCAACAACUUUUUUACAAAAGCACUUGGCUGGGGUUCGACCACCUAACUUAACUGGGGCACCAUGGUUGCCCAAUAUGCAGUUCCUCCAUGGAUUGGUGACACCAACAGCCCAAUACAUACACAAUCCAACUUUGGCACCAAGUGUUGAAGAUGGCAGUGAGAGUGAGAAGCCUACUACAUCGGAUGC